UACGGGGGAGCAAGCGUUGUUCGGAUUUACUGGGCGUAAAGGGCGCGUAGGCGGCCUGUGCAAGUCAGUUGUGAAAUCUCCGAGCUUAACUCGGAACGGUCAACUGAUACUGCUCGGCUAGAGUGCGGAAGGGGCAACUGGAAUUCUUGGUGUAGCGGUGAAAUGCGUAGAUAUCAAGAGGAACACCUGCGGCGAAGGCGGGUUGCUGGGCCGACACUGACGCUGAGGCGCGAAAGCUAGGGGAGCGAACGGG
rnacentral:rRNA from 1 species